UAGGGAAUCUUCCGCAAUGGACGCAAGUCUGACGGAGCAACGCCGCGUGAGUGAAGAAGGAUUUCGGUUCGUAAAACUCUGUUGUUAGAGAAGAACAGCGCAUAGAGUAACUGUUAUGCGUGUGACGGUAUCUAACCAGAAAGCCACGGCUAACUACGUGCCAGCAGCCGCGGUAAUACGUAGGUGGCAAGCGUUGUCCGGAUUUAUUGGGCGUAAAGCGAGCGCAGGCGGUCAAUUAAGUCUGAUGUGAAAGCCCCCGGCUCAACCGGGGAGGGUCAUUGGAAACUGGUUGACUUGAGUGCAGAAGAGGAGAGUGGAAUUCCAUGUGUAGCGGUGAAAUGCGUAGAUAUAUGGAGGAACACCAGCGGCGAAGGCGACUCUCUGGUCUGUAACUGACGCUGAGGCUCGAAAGCGUGGGUAGCAAACAGG
rnacentral:rRNA from 1 species